GAUCCAGAGAGCAAAUCUGAACCCAUAUAAAAUUCUGCUGGUCCUGUUGUAGCAACCACUAUUAUCGCCCAUUUGUCAGGGCAACCACCGGUAAGUGGGUUUUUCAAAAUUCAACUCAAGUACCAAAAUUUUGAACAAAAAUAGACCAGCUGUAUCUUCACUAUGGCCACAGAGAAAGAAGGAUAUAUACUGGAGUAGCAAUAGAAGCUGACUCCAAAUACUUUCUGACAAUAUUUGUAAUGGUUCUGUUUGGCUAAAUAUAAUGGUUCUGUUUGGCUCGACUGGAACUGCGCGGACACCACACCAGAGAGACAGCAGGAUCAAAGUAAUUUCAGCCACAAGAAGGACAUCAUUGACUUGAUCUUGCCUCUUUUGAUGUCUUCAGAACCUACCACCAUUAAGGAAGGCAUGGGGUUUGUGAUCGUUGCGGCGAUUGAAUGUGCUUCCAAAUAAUGCAUACAUGGGGCCGGAAAACAAUUGAGCUUCAGUGCAGACAGCUUCAACCACAAAGAGGAGCAGCAUUGAGACGGCUUCAAGAUGACCUGCAAAAUAUCUAGAUUCAGACAGCAUGCUGAGCCCCAGUACAUAAUUCUCUAGUCUGCAAGCUAUGUUAGCUUGCAAAAACCUCUUAUAUUGUCGGAUGGAGCUAGGGAGUAGUAAUUAGUUAUCACCUGACCUGCUCACCCAUAAUUACUCACUACCAAAUGGAAUUUGCCAGAAAAUUUGCAGAAAAUUAUUUUAUUUAGUACACC
rnacentral:lncRNA from 1 species